rnacentral:rRNA from 1 species
UAGGGAAUCUUCGGCAAUGGACGGAAGUCUGACCGAGCAACGCCGCGUGAGUGAAGAAGGUUUUCGGAUCGUAAAGCUCUGUUGUUAGAGAAGAACGUUGGUAGGAGUGGAAAAUCUACCAAGCGACGGUAACUAACCAGAAAGGGACGGCUAACUACGUGCCAGCAGCCGCGGUAAUACGUAGGUCCCGAGCGUUGUCCGGAUUUAUUGGGCGUAAAGCGAGCGAAGGCGGUCCUUUAAGUCUGAAGUUAAAGGCAGUGGCUUAACCAUUGUACGCUUUGGAAACUGGAGGACGUGAGUGCAGAAGGGGAGAGGGGAAUUCCAUCUGUAGCGGUGAAAUGCGUAGAUAUAUGGAGGAACACCGGUGGCGAAAGCGGCUCUCUGGUCUGUAUCUGACGCUGCGGCUCGAAAGCGUGGGGAUCAAACAGG